rnacentral:lncRNA from 1 species
ACCUGUCACUUAUGCAGUGUCAGAUGCAUUGUUACUGGGGUAGCCAACAACAACAGUAUCCCGUAUGUUAAUGUUCAGGAAAAAAAACAGUAUCCCGUAUGUUUUAUUAGCAGUUGCCAAAAGCAUCAAAGCCUAACAGUGCACAUCCAAGUAUAUAGUGAAUCCUGCAAAAAUAUAUAACUCUCUCCUCCUAAAAUACAUGGAUUCCUGAGUUUGUUAUAAGCCAAAUAAUUCUAGGGCCUUGUUUAGUUCACCCUCAAAUCCCAACUUUGGCACUAUGCAAAAAGAAGAUUCCCCAUCACAUCAAACUUGCGGUACAUGCAUGGAGUACUAAAUGUAGACAAAAUUAAAAACUAAUUGCACAGUUUUGUUGUACUUUGCGAGACGAAUCUUUUGAGCCUAAUUAGUCAAUGUUUGGACAAUAAUUCACAAAUACAAACGAAACGCUGCAGUGUUGCUAUAGUAAUUUUAGCACCUCAAAAUUGGGCAACUAAACAAGGCCUAGGUUUGAGCAAAUGUAUAGAAAAGAAUAAUAAUAUUUAUGACAUUA